UUGAUGUAAUUGCAGCCAACACGAAUGACAUGGGGCCUUUGAGCCUUGAUUUCUUCAGAAAAAACAAUUUGUCAGCUUCAUGGAAAGUCAUUGGGGAAAAUACUUCAAUUACAGAUAAGAUAAAUUUUACAGCUAUAGAUUCUAGACAAGAGACACCUAAGGUUAAAGUGGAUGUAUCUUCAGGUGGUAAUAUCUUUUCAACAUUACUUUCUGUUGUCCGUAAAACAUUUCUGCUUUCUUUUUUAUUUUAUUAUGAUUUGCAGGUGGUCAUGCUCAACUUGUUGAUCCUGCAAAACUAGCCCGACGGCAAUUAAGAGAGAAGAGACGCGAAAAGUGUGCAAAUGAGUUAGAGUUAUCUUAUACAGGCUUCCUCCAACAACCAUGUGUAGGUGACGAUAUGAUUUUAUAUGACUUGGGUAGUGGGCCCAUUGGGGCAAUUUUGUAUUUCCAAUGGCUUAGAAACCAAUUUUAGUGAAACACUGUGUUUCAUUAAACAUAAUGAAACCAGACGAUGCCGUUUCAGAAAAAGAAAAAUUAGGGUAUUAUGUCUUCUUCUUCCUUCGUGAGGCAGUGCCUCAACCUCCAUUAAGAACGCUUCUGCAACCUGUCAUCUGCUAAAUCAGUGGCACCAUGAGAACUUGUGAGCACUACGCAGUUUCGGCGAGAGGAGGUGCAAGUGCUCCUCCUUGCGCCUCUGUGGGUCCGCCACUGCUUAUAUCUCAACUUUUGGAGUUAGUCAGCAUCUAAUAGGGAAUAUAGUACUCUUACUCCAGGUUGGCAUUACUCUUACUCCAAGUUAAGUAAUUAUAUUAUGUAGCCCUGUAUUAAUAAUCCUUUCAUUAUUGGUAAUGUUAUCUAGAUUAUAUAUCUCACUAUUACAUUAUUUUGGCUUGUUGAGCAGAUUCCUAGGCCAUGGAAGUGGAUCUAACGAAGCUACUCCUAGUGGUAAAAGUUGAAGAAAUGCAUAGGAAAAUUGGUGAUGAUGAAUGUAUAGCUCUAUAUACAUAUGGAGAACUGGACUUGAAGGAUAAUGAGGUAUAGGAAUUUUGGUGUAUUAUUGUAAUUAGGCUUGCAGCUUGUAGCUCUAGAGUAUUUUCAUUUUUUAGAUUUUAUUUUGUUCUAUUGUACUCUUGAUAUUCUAUUUA